rnacentral:tRNA from 1 species
GUAGCGAUGUCCGAAGUGGUUAAGGAGUUUGACUCGAAAUCAAAUAGGCUGUGCCCACACAGCUUCGAAUCCUGCUCGCUGCG